GACGAACCGUACGAACGUUAUUCGGAAUUACUGGGCUUAAAGGGUGCGUAGGCGGCGCGGUAAGUAGGGUGUGAAAUCCCUCGGCUCAACCGAGGAACUGCGCUCUAAACUACCGUGCUCGAGGGAGAUAGAGGUGAGCGGAACUGAGGGUGGAGCGGUGAAAUGCGUUGAUAUCCUCAGGAACACCGGUGGCGAAAGCGGCUCACUGGAUCUCUUCUGACGCUGAGGCACGAAAGCUAGGGUAGCGAACGGG
rnacentral:rRNA from 1 species